rnacentral:rRNA from 1 species
UACGUAUGGGGCGAGCGUUAUUCGGAUUUAUUGGGCGUAAAGCGCAUGUCGGGGGUCUGUUAUGUCGGGGGUGAAAUCUCCAUGCUCAACAUGGAAAUUGCUUCCGAAACUGGCAGACUAGAGUUUUGGAGAGGAGAUUGGAAUUCCAGGUGUAGGGGUGAAAUCUGUAGAUAUCUGGAAGAACACCAGUGGCGAAGGCGAAUCUCUGGCCAAAAACUGACCCUUAGAUGCGAAAGCCAGGGGAG